UAACGUUAAUUAUGAAUUAGUAUAAAAUUUACAAUUAAUUCAAACAACUGUCUACGGCCAUACCUAGGCGAAAACACCAGUUCCCGUCCGAUCACUGCAGUUAAGCGUCUGAGGGCCUCGUUAGUACUAUGGUUGGAGACAACAUGGGAAUCCGGGGUGCUGUAGGCUUCUUUUUAUUCUUUUUGCGAUUUUAUUUUUUAAUUUUAUUGUUUACAAAGAGAUUAUAAGCCUUAUGCUUUGU